UACGUAGGGUGCGAGCGUUGUCCGGAAUUACUGGGCGUAAAGAGCUCGUAGGUGGUUUGUCGCGUUGUUCGUGAAAACUCACAGCUUAACUGUGGGCGUGCGGGCGAUACGGGCAGACUGGAGUACUGCAGGGGAGACUGGAAUUCCUGGUGUAGCGGUGGAAUGCGCAGAUAUCAGGAGGAACACCGGUGGCGAAGGCGGGUCACUGGGUCUCAACUGACGCUGAGGUACGAAAGCCAGGGUAGCGAACGGG
rnacentral:rRNA from 1 species